rnacentral:rRNA from 1 species
GAUGAACGCUGGCGGCGUGCCUAAUACAUGCAAGUCGAGCGAACAGACGAGGAGCUUGCUCCUCUGACGUUAGCGGCGGACGGGUGAGUAACACGUGGAUAACCUACCUAUAAGACUGGGAUAACUUCGGGAAACCGGAGCUAAUACCGGAUAAUAUAUUGAACCGCAUGGUUCAAUAGUGAAAGACGGUUUUGCUGUCACUUAUAGAUGGAUCCGCGCCGCAUUAGCUAGUUGGUAAGGUAACGGCUUACCAAGGCAACGAUGCGUAGCCGACAUGAGAGGGUGAUCGGCCACACUGGCACUGAGACACGGUCCAGACUCCUACGGGAGGCAGCAGUAGGGAAUCUUCCGCAAUGGGCGAAAGCCUGACGGAGCAACGCCGCGUGAGUGAUGAAGGUCUUCGGAUCGUAAAACUCUGUUAUUAGGGAAGAACAAAUGUGUAAGUAACUAUGCACGUCUUGACGGUACCUAAUCAGAAAGCCACGGCUAACUACGUG